GCCAACCUCAAACAUUCGGUUUCUGAUGAUGUAAUGAAGUAAAGUUGAUCUUUGGUAGUUUUAAUUUAUACAUUUCAAUUUUUUUUAAUCUUUUCUCCCCUAAAUUCAUAUCCAACACUGUGCUCAUUCUAGUGAGCAUCUCCAUCUUUUAAGUGAUCUACAAAGUGUGACAUCCCUUUUUAAAUAACGCUUGUUCUCAAAGCUUUGUACCGACCGUCCCACAACACCCCUGUGAGACAGAUCAAUUGUGUCAGUAAGUGACUUGCUCCAUGCUACACAGUGAGUCAGAGGCAGAACGAGGAUUAGCCUCCCAAGAGUUCCUGGUGUCUAAGUCUAUCUUCGAUUCAUUAGACCACACAGUCUCUUCAAAACGUAUCAUUCACGUGUAUGUAGCGCUUGAAAUUCGCAGCUAAUUCUAAAUCCUGUUUUCCAGCACUGAGCAUGGUGGGUUCCUCCACGUUCUUGUUGGAAUGCUAAGCAGAGGUGCUUAGUGAUUGCAUGAUCUAGCUGGGUGCAAACGCCUCUGGAAAUUAGAGCUGUGGCUGUGACACCCUCAGAGCAAUUGAAAUGUUUUACGACUGUAUGGUUGUCAUGCUUGACUACAGGCUGAACACUACGCUUCUCCGCCUGGAUGGAUGUAACAUACAAACCGCCAACACAGAAACACACAGGAAAAGGUAGAAGAACAGGAUUUAGAGAGAGACAUCAUCAAUGAGACGGCAAUAUGUGUUUAUUUAUGUUCCGCAUUUAAGAGCUUGUCUACACGGAGACUUUGAUUUAUACCCCAGCUUGCUGCACAUUAAGACCUAGUCUACAAUGAAAUCGAUCUAAGUUAUGCAACUUCAGCCUGAAUAACAUAACUGAAGUCGAUGUACUUAGAUCUACUUACCGUGGUGUUUUCC